AGAGUUUGAUCCUGGCUCAGGAUUAACGCUAGCGGCAGGCCAAAUACAUGCAAGUUGUACGGGAUUAUUGGUAGCAAUACUGAUAUGAGAGUAGCGCACGGGUGCGUAACACGUAUGCAACCUACCUUUAACUGGGGAAUAGCUCACCGAAAGGUGAAUUAACACCGCAUAAAAUCACAGAAGGACAUCCUUUAAUGAUUAAAUCUCCGGAGGUUAAAGAUGGGCAUGCGUCCGAUUAGCUAGUUGGCGGGGUAAUAGCCCACCAAGGCAACGAUCGGUAGGGGGUCUGAGAGGAUGAUCCCCCACACUGGUACUGAGACACGGACCAGACUCCUACGGGAGGCAGCAGUAAGGAAUAUUGGACAAUGGGGGCAACCCUGAUCCAGCCAUGCCGCGUGAAGGAUGAAGGCCCUAUGGGUCGUAAACUUCUUUUACAGGGGGACAAAUAUCCGCUUCGUGAAGCGGAUUGAUGGUACUCUGAGAAUAAGGGUCGGCUAACUUCGUGCCAGCAGCCGCGGUAAUACGAAGGACCCGAGCGUUAUCCGGAUUUAUUGGGUUUAAAGGGUGCGUAGGCGGAUUUACAAGUCAGUGGUGAAAUCUCCCAGCUCAACUGGGAAACUGCCAUUGAAACUGUUUAUCUUGAGUACAUUUGAGGCGGGCGGGAAUGUGUCAUGUANAGGUGAAAUUCCUANAUAUGACACAGAACACCAAUUGCGAAGGCA
rnacentral:rRNA from 1 species